GGAAGAUGAAGUGAAAAAUUUCCUUUUCUCAAUAAAGUAUAGCUGAGGCCAUCAGCAGAAUGGGAGGAGCAGGAAGUUUGAGGAAAGUGUUUGAGAUGGCCAUCUGGAGAGGACAGCGAGGACCCCAACACGGAACGCAUGCUUAGUGCUAGGUACAUUACACCCCUUCCUUCCACCUAGUGUGCCCACUUCAGCUAAACUCAAUGCCUCUGUUGGUCGAGGGUUAUUUACUCCUGUGGCUGUGGUCAGGAGGGAGAAGUGCUCAGUCAGUAGGUAAUGAGUAAGAGUCAGCAGAGGAGGCAGCUGUCUUCCUGGCAGGCUCCUUACCCUGGAUCUGUCAUCGAAAACAUUGCUGGAGAUCUGUUUACUGCAUUUUGCAAUCCAAGAAGGAAACUGAAGUUGAAAGAUCAUAAGCCGGAGAGGCCAUGACAAGCGUGAGUGCGUUGAGGGCAAGAGUAAGUCAUGGCCUUAAGGAAGAAGCCGUGAAGGAGAGAAAGGAUACCUGGGGCAAGGCAGAGAAACAACUUCAUGAUGGAAAGAGAAGCAGACCAACAGGAGGCCAACACCUGGAGAGCAGUAUUAAUAGUCACAGGGGAGGGCUGCUGCAAAGACUGGAGGAAAUACCGCAGUGCAAGCACUCAGCACAAGGCCUCGCACAUAGGACACCCUCUGGCAAUGCUGCCCACUUUUCCAGAGUUUUCCCUGUAAGUGCCCUUGUGACUAUCACAAUCUGUGUUUGGGAAAUGUGGUUUUUAUCGGUAAGACCACAGUUCUGUUUGAAAUAGAAGGCUUCUAAGAAACAGUGAGAAAGGUGUAAUUAUAGUGUUAAUACAGCUAAGGUGAGAAACAGUAAACUAGAACAAUGGUUCAUGGGGAUCAAGUCGCUAAAAUAAAGUACAUCUUUAUGAAUAGAGCCCA
rnacentral:lncRNA from 13 species